CCACCACAGGCAGGGUGGGGUUCGUGGGGCGAUGGGACCCUUGGGGACGGCGCCACGAGCUAGGAGGACCUGUGGGGGGUACUCGGUGACGAGCAAAGUACCUUUGCCUCCAUCUUCUCGACUAGGACGCAUGUUAGACCCUUUUGCCCUCAUGUUGGACUUGUAGGACUUGUUGGACAUGUAUGUUGGACAUGUAUGCACUUGUUAC